UCCAGCAGACCCACGGGAAGCUGAAGCUGUCAGUGUGUGAGAAGAAGCAGCCAUCUCAGACUCUUCAUCCCUAACAUGACUGAAACUCGACACCACAUUACGCACGUUCUCGUUCACUUUCACCCGCAGUUUUUUGAUUUCUCUUCCCUUCAGGAAAAAGAUAAGAUUUUACAUCUUAUUCUGUCGGACUUCCGAAGCUAACGCUCUAAAUUCUCACGUGCUUUCCCGCAGUUUGGCAGACGGUGUGCUGGUACACAAAAUCUAACCAAACACCCUGGCACACCUUGGAAUGCUUUACUGUCAUGCGCUACACCUGUGGCUGGAAAGUCGGCUCAUUUUCCAUGAGACUGGUCGUUUCUACACUACGUCAUGACUCCUACUUACGCAGCUAAUGGGCAGGGCGAAGCCCACAGUGUAAAGAACUGUGGAGGUGACAGUGCUGUUGUGGAACGGGUACUUGAUGCUGUCGUCGUUACAGAAAAAGCCCCUCUGGUAAGGGCGGAUCUUUCCCAGGUUAAAGGCUGCAAGAGGCAGACCUCCUGUGGACAGAGAUCAGGAGGAGUUAAGGCAGGAAGAAGUCAGACAUGGCAGAGAAAGUGAGGGUGCUGAGGGACAAUGGUGGAGGUCUUCAACUAUGUCAUCUUUCGGGUGGAGGUGAAAGAACAGCAACCUUUCUAGCAACUGAACUGAGAAUACUAUUAGCUCUUUUAUAUGUUUGUUAUUGCUACUAAACCCAAUGGAAAAACCAAAACAAUGUGCUAAAUCUGCCACAAGCCCACUCCUUCUGAGAAAAUAAACAUAUUUUUAUGUAAAAAUAUAAAACAUGAAUUCACAUUGUGUAUUCUGUUUACAUGGAGGUUUUCAUUUCAUAUCAGCAUUAUCACCAAACCAAUACAUAUUGGUCAGGCGCUAGAAAAAGUGUUAUAAUUGGUCAUUAACGUAGCACAGAGGGUUGUCACGUCUUUUGACGGAGCCUUGAUGGAAAAGUUAAUGGAUUAGGCUGAUUCGUUUUCAGAGUGCAAAGUCCACAGAGGAUAACACUUCCGUCAUUUCUCUGACUGUUCAGCCCAGAGUUGUUCUUCCAUUUGAGCAGAAGUUGAGGUUCUGUUAUAUUAUUGCACAUUUACAGUCCCAGUCAAAUAAAGGCAGAAAAAAGUC